GUGCGGAUAGCAGAGAUGGUAUGAGGCACCGGAUGUUGAACGACAUUCCGUAUAUCGCAGGUUCGAACCCUGCCCCGCUUG
rnacentral:tRNA from 1 species